rnacentral:lncRNA from 1 species
CACAUUUCAUCAACUUUUAUCAAAACAUACUAAAAAUCUAAUUUUAAUCCUCACCAAAUAUGGGCUAUAAUAAUUAACCUUGCAUGAUGGGGGGCGGGGGGGGGGGGGGGAGAAAAGAAAUAAUAAAAAAAUGAAAACAUAGAUCACAAGCAAAGCCAAGUCAUAUAAUAAAAGUAAAAAAUUAAUGGAAAAAUUGCAGCAGAAGCCCCAAACCUUUAAAAUAUUAGCAGACUUUCUCCAAAUCUUUCAUUUGUUGCAAUCGUCAUCCCAAACCUUUCAAAACGUUGCGACGGAGGCCCGUUUGGACGAUUUUCAUCCAAAUGUCUGUUAGUUGACCAUCAAAAUAAACUUUGACCACAUUUUAACCAAUUUUUAAUGGGCAAAAUAGCAACUUUCCAUUUGCUACAUUAAAUAAUUAAAAAAACUUAAAUCAAAAACAAAAAAAAGGGGAUCCUCUUCUUCUCUCCCAGCUGCGCCACCGUCAACAACCACAGUGGAUGGCUAAGGCACAUGAAUUACAGGUAGCUAAACCUGCUCCAACGGGAAAGAUGAAGUGUCAAAGGUGGGCAAGGUAAAACCCAUUUGAAACAUGUUGAUUGGACUCUACUAAUCGGGAUUCAACAUCGUUGAAAUAGGAAUCAGUCCAUUCAACUCGCCGUCGAAUCUUACGCCAGUUACCUGCUGCACCAUUUGCCUGAAAUUCGCCAAAUCAAUGGUGAUAAACGUCGUCGUUGCGUGCUUCUUUGUACUCGAUUUAAGUUUAGUGAUUUUCCCUAUUUGUUGGUGAGGAAUUUAUGUACAGUCUGCUGGUGAGGAAUUUGUAAACAAUUUUGUUAAAGCUUUGUUAAGUGUCUUUGUUUCUUUGGUGAAUAAAUCAAAUAUCCAACCAUACACCAUUCCUGGACCAAAUCUCCGAGGUUGUUGUUUGAUGGUAACUAGAUUAUCAGACGACACCAUUCUUAGACUUGCUUCAUUUCUCACAGUGUUUCGAGAGAUGGGAUGUGCUUUUGGGGAGAGAGAUCUGAUUAUUUGGGCCUCUAGCGGCGAGUUUGUAGCUGAGAAAGGGAGGGAAAAGAGAGAGGAAAGAGAUCUGGCCGUGGCGGUGGCCCGUGGGUUUGGGGAAAGACGAAGAUAUU